CAAGUACUCCCUCCGUCCGGAAUUACUUGUCAUCAAAAUGGAUGUGUCUAGAACUAAAAUACAUCUAGAUACAUCCAUUUCAAUGACAAGUAUUUUCGGACAGAGGGAGUACAAG
rfam:Triticum aestivum genome assembly, contig: Triticum_aestivum_CS42_TGACv1_scaffold_407861_5BL